rnacentral:lncRNA from 11 species
UCUAAACUGAGGUUGGCCACGGCACCCACUAAGUCACAUAGACUCAAUUUUUCAACAAGAUAAGAAAUGCUUUAAGGUAAUUUUGUAGAUUUCCUGAAAAAUUAGAAGAUGUAUGCAGUAGUGUCAGCAUGGUCACAUUAAGAAUCUGUGACUUCAGAACAGGGCUGGAAGAAUGCUUCAGAACAGGAAUAUGAAUAUAUCCCAUUGUCAGGCAUGUGGACGAGGUCACUGCCAGAAGAGGAAUUAAAUGCUGAUCCAGGGCUGUAUAUAUUUGAGAAUGACAAAUUGAAUUCCAUCCCAAGGAAACUCUUCAUCGUCUUCUGCAUUGUGCUGCUCUCUUCUCUAGUAAUGACAACAGUCGCUCUUGUGAUGACAUGCUUUAGAUGCAAGCCAGUUUGUUCAGAUGGCUGGGACAAAUUCCAAGAGAAAUGCUACUAUUUCACAGAAGAACAGAAUCCAUGGCAGCAAAGCAGAGAAAUGUGCCAAAGCAAAGGUGCUGAUCUCAUAGUGAUUGAUCAUAAAGAGAAACAGGUGGGUGUUUCCUAUUU